CAGUAGCCGCGGUAAUACAGAGGAUGCAAGCGUUAUCCGGAAUGAUUGGGCGUAAAGCGUCUGUAGGCGGCUUCGCAAGUCAGAGGUGAAAGCCUGGGGCUCAACUCCAGAAUUGCCUUUGAGACUGCGUCGCUCGAAUCCGGGAGAGGUGAGUGGAAUUCCGAGUGUAGAGGUGAAAUUCGUAGAUAUUCGGAAGAACACCAGUGGCGAAGGCGGCUCACUGGACCGGCAUUGACGCUGAGGUGCGAAAGCGUGGGGAGCAAACAGGAUUAGAUACCCCAGUAGUCCCUGUCUCUUAUAC
rnacentral:rRNA from 1 species